AGAUAUUAGGUUGGUGCAAAAGUAAUUAUUGUUUUUGCCAUUGAAAGUAAUGGCAAAAAACCCGCAUUACUUUUGCACCAACCUGAUA
rnacentral:miRNA from 1 species